rnacentral:rRNA from 1 species
CCGACUGCUAUUGGGGUGAGGCUAAGCCAUGCGAGUCAGCGCCUCUAGCCAUGAUGUGGCGCGGCAUACGGCUCGUAACAUGUGGCUAACCUACCCUCAGGACGGGAACACCCUCGGGAAACUGAGGCUGACUCCCGAUAGAUGAUGGAUCCUGGAAGGUUCUUCAUCCAAAUGAUAUGUGGCUCACGCAUCCAAGCCUGAGGAUGGGACGCACCCUAUCAGGUAGUGGGGGUAAUGGCCCCAAGCCUAUAACGGGUACGGGCCUUGAGAGAGGAGCCCGGAGAGGGCACUGAGCAAGGGCCCAGGCCCUACGGGGCGCAGCAGGCGCGAUG